rnacentral:rRNA from 1 species
CCAAUAGCGUAUAUUAAGGUUGUUGCAGUUAAAAAGCUCGUAGUUGAAUUUCGGGAUUAGUACGUCGGUCGUGCCUUAGGUACGUACUGGUGUUACUGGUUCCUACCUUCUGACGAACCAUCAUGUCAUUAAUUUGGUGUGGUGGGGAAUCAGGACUGUUACUUUGAAAAAAUUAGAGUGUUUAAAGCAGGCUCGCGCUUGAAUACAUUAGCAUGGAAUAAUGAAAUAGGACGUUGAUCCUAUUUUGUUGGUUUCUAGGAUUGACGUAAUGAUUAAUAGGGAUAGUUGGGGGCAUUAGUAUUCAAUUGUCAGAGGUGAAAUUCUUGGAUUUAUUGAAGACUAACUACUGCGAAAGCAUUUGCCAAGGAUGUUUUCAUUAAUCAAGAACGAAAGUUAGGGGAUCGAAGACGAUCAGAUACCGUCGUAGUCUUAACCAUAAACUAUGCCGACUAGGGAUCGGAUGAUGUUAUUUUUAAUGACUCAUUCGGCGCCUUAC